AAGUAAGACUAAUACCCGAUGAUAUCCCUAGAAGACAUCUGAAAGGGAUUUAAAGAUUUUAUCGGUGAUGGAUGGGGAUGCGUCUGAUUAGCUUGUUGGCGGGGGUUAACGGCCCACCAAGGCGACGAUCAUAGGGGGUUCUGAGAGGAAGGUCCCCCACAUUGGAACUGAGACACGGUCCAAACUCCUACGGGAGGCAGCAGUGAGGAAUAUUGGUCAAUGGACGCAAGUCUGAACCAGCCAAGUAGCGUGCAGGAUGACGGCCCUAUGGGUUGUAAACUGCUUUUAUGCGGGGAUAAAGUUAGGGAUGUAUCCCUUUUUGCAGGUACCGCAUGAAUAAGGACCGGCUAAUUCCGUG
rnacentral:rRNA from 1 species